rnacentral:rRNA from 1 species
CCUACGGGUGGCAGCAGUGAGGAAUAUUGGUCAAUGGGCGGAAGCCUGAACCAGCCAAGUAGCGUGCAGGAUGAAGGCCCUACGGGUUGUAAACUGCUUUUAUACGGGAAUAACGCGCCUUACGUGUAGGGCUUUGCAUGUACCGUAUGAAUAAGGACCGGCUACUUCCGUGCCAGAAGCCGCGGUGAUACGGAAGGUCCGGGGGUUAUCCGGAGUUAUUGGGUGUAAAGGGAGCGUAGGCCGCAUGUCAAGCGUGCUGUGCAAUGUCCGGGCUCAACCCGGGCCUUGCAGCGCGAACUGGCGUGCUUGAGUCCGCGGAAGGCAGGCGGAAUUCGUCGUGUAGCGGUGAAAUGCUUAGAUAUGACGAAGAACCCCGAUUGCGAAGGCAGCUUGCUGCAGCGGAACUGACGCUGAUGCUCGAAAGCGCGGGUAUCGAACAGGAUUAGAUACCCGUGUAGUC